rnacentral:rRNA from 1 species
UGGCUCAGGACGAACGCUGGCGGCGUGCCUAAUACAUGCAAGUCGAACGGUCUUUCUAUGGAAGCUUGCUUCCACUGAGAAGAUAGUGGCGAACGGGUGAGUAACACGUGGGUAACCUGCCCAUAAGAGGGGGAUAACAUCCGGAAACGGGUGCUAAUACCGCAUAGUUUUCUUGAUCGCAUGAUCGGGAAAGGAAAGACGGCCUUUGUGCUGUCGCUUAUGGAUGGACCCGCGGCGUAUUAGUUAGUUGGUGAGGUAACGGCUCACCAAGACGAUGAUACGUAGCCGACCUGAGAGGGUGAUCGGCCACAUUGGGACUGAGACACGGCCCAAACUCCUACGGGAGGCAGCAGUAGGGAAUCUUCCGCAAUGGACGAAAGUCUGACGGAGCAACGCCGCGUGAGUGAAAGAAGGUUUUCGGAUCGUAAAACUCUGUUGUCAGAGAAGAACAAGUUGGAGAGUAACUGCUCCAGCCUUGACGGUAUCUGACCAGAAAGCCACGGCUAACUACGUGCCAGCCGCCGC